GUACCCGCUGAACUUAAGCAUAUCAAUAAGCGGAGGAAAAGAAACCAACAGGGAUUGCCUCAGUAACGGCGAGUGAAGCAGCAACAGCUCAAAUUUGAAAUCUGGCGCCCCCCGGCGUCCGAGUUGUAAUUUGUAGAGGAUGCUAUUGGGUUGCCACCGGUCUAAGUCCCUUGGAACAGGGCGUCACAGAGGGUGAGAAUCCCGUAUGUGACCGGCCUGGCACCCUCCGUAUAGCUCCUUCGACGAGUCGGGUUGUUUGGGAAUGCAGCCCUAAAUGGGAGGUAAAUUUCUUCUAAAGCUAAAUACCGGCCAGAGACCGAUAGCGCACAAGUAGAGUGAUCGAAAGAUGAAAAGCACUUUGGAAAGAGAGUUAAAAAGCACGUGAAAUUGUUGAAAGGGAAGCGCUUGCAAUCAGUCUCGACGGCGGCCGUUCUGCCCCCCUUCUGGGAGGCCUACUCGGUCGCCGCCGGGCCAGCAUCAGUUUCGGCGGUCGGACAAAGGCGGUGGGAACGUGGCCCCCCUCGGGGGGUGUUAUAGCCCACCGCGCAAUACGGCCCGCCGGGACUGAGGUCCGCGCUCCGGCUAGGAUGCUGGCGAAAUGGUUGUAAGCGGCCCGUCUUGAAACACGGACCAAGGAGUCUAACAUCUAUGCGAGUGUUUGGGUGUCAAACCCGUGCGCGUAAUGAAAGUGAACGGAGGUGGGAGCCGCAAGGCGCACCAUCGACCGAUCCUGAUGUCUUCGGAUGGAUUUGAGUAAGAGCAUAGCUGUUGGGACCCGAAAGAUGGUGAACUAUGCCUGAAUAGGGUGAAGCCAGAGGAAACUCUGGUGGAGGCUCGCAGCGGUUCUGACGUGCAAAUCGAUCGUCAAAUUUGGGUAUAGGGGCGAAAGACUAAUCGAACCAUCUAGUAGCUGGUUCCUGCCGAAGUUUCCCUCACGAU
rnacentral:rRNA from 1 species